rnacentral:rRNA from 1 species
AACGAACGCUGGCGGCAGGCUUAACACAUGCAAGUCGAGCGAGACCUUCGGGUCUAGCGGCGGACGGGUGAGUAACGCGUGGGAACGUGCCCUUCUCUACGGAAUAGCCCCGGGAAACUGGGAGUAAUACCGUAUACGCCUUUUGGGGGAAAGAUUUAUCGGAGAAGGAUCGGCCCGCGUUGGAUUAGGUAGUUGGUGGGGUAAUGGCCCACCAAGCCGACGAUCCAUAGCUGGUUUGAGAGGAUGAUCAGCCACACUGGGACUGAGACACGGCCCAGACUCCUACGGGAGGCAGCAGUGGGGAAUCUUAGACAAUGGGGGCAACCCUGAUCUAGCCAUGCCGCGUGAGUGAUGAAGGGCCUUAGGGUUGUAAAGCUCUUUUCAA